UAAAAUUUGAAGAAGAGAGAAAGCAAAUCUUGCAUGCUUUCAACAGAUCCCACCUUCAAUUUUUUAUGGAUUUCAAAUUCAAUUAACUAGCAUUAAUAUCAUUGGAAACAUGAAAGAGAAAGAAUUAAUUUGAUAGCCAUCAUUACUAUCACCGAUUCCAAGCCAAAAGAAAGUGAGAAACUUAAUUCAUUUUCAUUCUCUCUCUUAGUUUCAUUGAAAGCAAUUUCAAUUUCUCUCUCUUCUCUCUCUUCUUUCUUCAAAUUUGGGUCACUUCACAAAAAAUAUGGAAGCUAAAGUAAGUUAUCAGAAGAAGGUGAAAGAAGCUAGUAGCAAGGCCAUUAUGAUGAUGGCGGAAAGAAAAAGAAAAUUUGAGUCUACAAAAGCAAUGCCAACCCUUCAAAUUCCUUCUUUGUUGCAAAAGUUUAGGCAUUGAAAAUUAUAUCAAACAAUGCAACAAACUUUAAGAGAUGUGGUCGAGAAGCAUUUAAGAAAGCAAUUUCUACUAAUCCGGGUCAAUUGGGUAAUUAUGCCAUGCAUCCUUCUCAACAAGGGGGUUUCUAUGCAGACUAAAUAGUGGCACUCAAUAAGUAUCUUUACUGCUUCACCGACUCAGAUGACCAGAUCAAAAAGCAUUGUACCUUCCACAAAUGAUUCAUUAACUACUAUAGCGCUCCCUUUUAAACACAUCAACAUUAUUCUUGUUACACUAAAUUCCAGAAUACAAAAUAUUAAUGUAACAACAUUCACGUCAAAAUAUUUUGUAGAGAUAACAACUAACUAAACGGUUUAAUAUAAUACAUAUCAACUUUUUAGCUAUCA